rnacentral:misc_RNA from 1 species
AAGUCGUAACAAGGUUACCGUAGAUGAAUCUGCGGUAGGAUCAUUAUCAAUGAACCAACAACCAUGUAUGUGCACUGUACCCUGACAUUGGGGCAUUGGCUGGCUCAUUGUGGCCAGUUGUGCCCCAAGUGUUUUAACUACGUUAUGCAUUGAAGUCACCAAGUGUAGCUAAACUAAGCACAAUCUUAAAACAACUUUUAGCAAUGGAUCUCUUGGCUCUCACAACGAUG